rnacentral:rRNA from 1 species
UGCAAGUCGAACGAUGAACCACUUCGGUGGGGAUUAGUGGCGAACGGGUGAGUAACACGUGGGCAAUCUGCCCUGCACUCUGGGACAAGCCCUGGAAACGGGGUCUAAUACCGGAUACUGAUUGUCUUGGGCAUCCUUGAUGAUCGAAAGCUCCGGCGGUGCAGGAUGAGCCCGCGGCCUAUCAGCUUGUUGGUGAGGUAACGGCUCACCAAGGCGACGACGGGUAGCCGGCCUGAGAGGGCGACCGGCCACACUGGGACUGAGACACGGCCCAGACUCCUACGGGAGGCAGCAGUGGGGAAUAUUGCACAAUGGGCGCAAGCCUGAUGCAGCGACGCCGCGUGAGGGAUGACGGCCUUCGGGUUGUAAACCUCUUUCAGCAGGGAAGAAGCGAAAGUGACGGUACCUGCAGAAGAAGCGCCGGCUAACUACGUGCCAGCAGCCGCGGUAAUACGUAGGGCGCAAGCGUUGUCCGGAAUUAUUGGGCGUAAAGAGCUCGUAGGCGGCUUGUCGCGUCGGUUGUGAAAGCCCGGGGCUUAACCCCGGGUCUGCAGUCGAUACGGGCAGGCUAGAGUUCGGUAGGGGAGAUCGGAAUUCCUGG